AUUUGAUAGUUACCCAGCAGCUGUGUGGCUCAUUUUUUUUAUUUGUCUGUAUGAAUAAUUCACAAAAAGAUUACCGAUUGUUUCCAACGCCAAUUGUUGCACAUUAAAGUAUAAAAAUAGAUUUAAUUUCGCUAGCUGAUCACAAACGUUGGCCGGAGUGAGAUCCAAUCAACGCUUGUGUUGUUACCUUGUUGAAUUGAUUUGGCCAAUCACGUUAUUCGUUGAAUCGGCGUCGCGUGACUCGCGUCAGUCUGAAGCCAAAUGAGUCUACAACCCAACCUGGAGAGACCGGUGUGUCUCGGCAAGACAACGUCAAGGUAAACUUUGUUUUACAAUGAUUAUACACCCCUAUAUCUUAAUGCUUUUCAUAUAAGUUGUAUUUAAGACUGCAAGCUAUACUUCGUCGUGAAUAUAUGCGUUGUCGUUGAUGAGAACAGUAGCCACGAAAGAAUGUUGGUAGUGGAGCAAUAAAGCUAGGUCUAACGGUAUGUUGCUUAGGCUAAUCCAAAUCAUUCGGUACAUACACAAUGAACUAAGCAAAGAGUAUUCAAAUACGGGAUAAUUACGGGUAAAUAUUUAAACGGGAAGACAGUAGGAAAUAAUUUGACAGGUAUGUCAAGGUUGGAUUGGUUUAUAGCAAGCUACCUAGGCUACAAGUAAACUAGACUAAUUAUCAGCUAAAAAGAGUGCAAAGCAAAACAAAGAAAUGAUUUCAAAUCAACUUUAUAGUGGUAGUCAUGGAGUUAUAUAAGCCAUUUAUGGUUGAUUGUCACAGUUUAUACAAUGACACAAUUCUGUGCAUGGUAGCUUAUGCUUUUUGCAAGUGCAGUUCCCUCCCACACAUUUAAGGGUUUUGCAUUGGCAGUGCACCAGCUGUAAGACACUCUGUGGUGCUGGGGGCAGUGUCAUCCAGUGCACUACCAGGUAUUCUCCCUCCAUCCUCCAUCCAUGCUGUACCGGCGGGGGUAUGUCAGGUUGUUUUUGCAGACUUCUCCUGUAGAAUGAAAAAUAUGAAAACAUUACUUUGGCCUAUUAACCUACUGUAUCAGUUUAUGUUUCUAUUUUGUUUAUUAUCUUUAUGUUUCUAAUUUUGUUAUCUUUAGAGUGACAUAUUAGCUGUAAACCAUUUUCUCUUUUUCUGUUUCUUGGUCAUGUACCUGUGUAUUGCAGUCUGGUAGUUGGCACGCUGAAUAUGCUGCUGAAGGGAGUCUUGAUUUGGAGGAAGGCUCCUUUCGAGACAUUUCCCAGACUUAAACAUGUGCCACCUUGCCUGGUUGACACUUUUGACAUCUUUUACGUCAUAUGGCCUCUGAGGCAACAAGGUCUCUCCCUCGGAUAUGGAUGAGAACCCUCUCAUCCAUCUUGUCCUCUGCCGCAAAAAGCAAGUUACCUGCUGCAUCUAGCUGGGAGUAGAUGAGAUGCUCUCCUUUGUUCGGGGCCAUCAUCCAAUGCAGAGCGCAGAAUACGGACCUUGGAGACACUCAUCAUUGAACGGCAGUGGUUGGGCUUCACCUACAUAACAGAACAGACACGGACAGGACAACAUCAUAUCUCUCCACACCCAAAUGACUACAGAGGUGAUCGCUGACAAUCAUCACAUCAACAGCACCAUGAAUGGAGCAGGUCAAGAUCACGGAGUUGCUUAGUAUCCACAUCACAGAUGACCCAUCUUGAUCUAUCGACACCACCAACAGAACCUGGCCAAGAAAGUCCAAAAACCUCUGCACUUCCUCCCACAGUUGAGGAAGGCUCAUCUCCCACAAAUCCAUCCUCUUAACUUUCUAUAGGGGAAUCAUAGAGAGCCUCUUCCUUCCACCCCCACCCUCCAAUAACCUAAGGGCAGCUGAUUGACUCUUGCACAAAUACACUGGUAGUUUACACUAUGAUGCUGCUACAUUGGUUUCUUUUUUUAUUUUUAAAUUUGCUAUGAACAUUUGACCCCACUUACACACAUAUUGCACUGCCUUUUGCUACUUGUCAUGUCAUCCACUUGCACUGAAAUACUA